rnacentral:rRNA from 1 species
AUGCGCGGCAGCAUGCGUUCCUCCGUGAAGAAGAGGAGCCCCCGUGCUCCUCCUCCUCUUGCUCCGGUGCUCCUGCUGGUCUGCGGCCUCGCGCUGCUGCAGCGCCCGGCCUCUGCCGAGAUAAAGUCGUAUGUUGUGUACCUCGGAUGCCACUCGCAUGGCAGAGAGGGCGCGGCGCUCGCCUCCAACCAGGAACACGCCAAGAACUCCCACUACCAGUUCUUGGGCUCCGUCCUGGGAAGCGAGAAGGCGCAGGACGCCAUCUUCUACUCCUACACCAGGUACAUCAAUGGCUUCGCCGCCACGCUGGAGGAGGAAGACGCAAUGCAGAUCUCAAAGCACCCGAGCGUCGUCUCUGUUUUCCCCAACAGAGGGCAUAAGCUGCACACCACCCGGUCAUGGGAGUUCCUCGGGAUGGAGAAGGACGGCCGGGUGAGGCCCGACUCCAUCUGGGCCAAGGCAAGGUACGGCGACGGCGUCAUCAUCGGCAACCUAGACACCGGGGUGUGGCCGGAGGCCGGCAGCUUCAGCGACGACGGCAUGGGCCCGGUGCCGGCGCGGUGGCGGGGCGUCUGCCACGACCAGUCCUCCUCCGACGACGCCCAGGUCCGCUGCAACAGGAAGCUGAUCGGCGCGCGGUACUUCAACAAGGGGUACGCGGCGACGGUGGGGCGGGCGGGCGCGGGCGCGAGCCCGAGCCCGGCCAGCACGCGGGACAGCGACGGCCACGGCACGCACACGCUGUCCACCGCCGCGGGCCGCUUCGUGCCGGGCGCCAACCUGUUCGGCUACGGCAACGGCACGGCCAAGGGCGGCGCCCCCGGCGCGCGCGUCGCGGCGUACAAGGUGUGCUGGCGCCCCGUCAACGGCAGCGAGUGCUUCGACGCCGACAUCAUCGCCGCCUUCGACGCCGCCAUCCACGACGGCGUGGACGUCCUCUCCGUCUCCCUCGGCGGCGCGCCCACGGAGUACUUCAGGGACGGCGUCGCCAUCGGGUCGUUCCACGCCGUCAGGAACGGCGUCACCGUGGUCUCCUCGGCGGGGAACUCCGGGCCCGGGGCCGGCACGGUGUCGAACACCGCGCCGUGGCUCGUCACCGUCGGGGCCAGCACCAUGGACCGCGAGUUCCCGGCGUACCUGGUCCUCGGCAACAAGAAGCAGAUCAAAGGACAGAGCCUGUCGCCGGUGCCCCUGCCUGCCAACAAGCAUUACCGGCUGAUCAGCUCUGUAGAAGCCAAGGCAGAAGAUGCAACAGUGGCCCAAGCGCAAUUGUGCAUCGAGGGGUCGCUGGACAAGAAGAAGGUUAGGGGGAAGAUCGUGGUGUGCAUGCGAGGGAAGAACGCGCGGGUGGAGAAAGGCGAGGCGGUGCAUCGAGCCGGCGGGGCUGGGCUGGUGCUGGCGAACGACGAGGCCACCGGGAACGAGAUGAUCGCCGACGCGCACGUGCUCCCGGCCACCCACAUCACCUACUCUGACGGAGUCGCGCUGCUUGCCUACUUGAAUUCAACCAGGUUCGCGUCGGGCUACAUUACCCUGCCAAACACCGCGCUGGAGACGAAGCCGGCGCCGUUCAUGGCCGCCUUCUCCUCUCAGGGCCCAAACACGGUCACUCCCCAGAUCCUCAAGCCCGACAUCACCGCGCCGGGGGUGAGCAUCCUGGCGGCGUUCACCGGCCUGGCCGGCCCGACCGGCCUCACCUUCGACAGCCGCCGCGUCCUCUUCAACUCCGAGUCCGGCACCUCCAUGUCCUGCCCGCACGUCGCCGGCAUCGCCGGCCUCCUCAAGGCCCUCCACCCCGACUGGAGCCCCGCCGCCAUCAAGUCCGCCAUCAUGACCACCGCCAGGGUGCAGGACAACACGCGGAGGCCGAUGAGCAACUCGUCGUUCCUGCGCGCCACGCCCUUCGCCUACGGCGCCGGCCACGUGCAGCCCAACCGCGCCGCCGACCCGGGCCUCGUCUACGACACCAACGCCACGGACUACCUCCACUUCCUCUGCGCGCUGGGCUACAACUCCACCGUGAUCGGCACGUUCAUGGGCGGCCCGCGCGCCUGCCCGGCGACGCCGCGGAGGCCGGAGGACCUCAACUACCCGUCCGUCACGGUGCCCCACAUGUCCGCCUCCGGCGAGCCGCGCACCGUCACGAGGCGGGUGCGGAACGUGGGCGCGGCGCCGGCGGCGUACGACGUGCGGGUCCGCGCGCCGCGCGGCGUGUCCAUGACCGUGCGCCCGAGCCGGCUGGAGUUCGCCGCGGCCGGGGAGGAGAAGGAGUUCGCCGUGACGUUCAGGGCCAGGGCGGGGCGUUUCUUGCCCGGCGAGUACGUGUUCGGGCAGAUCGUGUGGUCGGACGGCGCCGGGCGCCGCCGCCACCGCGUCAGGAGCCCCGUCGUCGUCAGGGUCGCCGGCCGUAGGACGGGAAAAACCAGUGUCCCCGUCGCCUGA